rnacentral:rRNA from 1 species
GCCGCGUGAGGGAUGACGGCCCUCGGGUUGUAAACCUCUUUCACCGGGGAAGAAACGGACGGGACGCGGCCUAUAAACCACGGAUCGGUCCACGCCGUGCCAGCAGCCGCGGUAAU